CCCUUAGAGUUUGAUCCUGGCUCAGGACGAACGCUGGCGGCGUGCUUAACACAUGCAAGUCGAGCGAGGCCUCACCUUCGGGUGAGUGUCCUAGCGGCGAACGGGUGAGUAACACGUGGGCAACCUGCCCCUAGCACUGGGAUAACUCCGGGAAACCGGGGCUAAUACCGGAUACGACCUCGGAAGGCAUCUUCUGAGGUGGAAAGGGUUACUGGCUAGGGAUGGGCCCGCGGCCUAUCAGCUUGUUGGUGGGGUAACGGCCUACCAAGGCUCCGACGGGUAGCCGGCCUGAGAGGGCGACCGGCCACACUGGGACUGAGACACGGCCCAGACUCCUACGGGAGGCAGCAGUGGGGAAUAUUGCACAAUGGGCGAAAGCCUGAUGCAGCGACGCCGCGUGAGGGAUGACGGCCUUCGGGUUGUAAACCUCCUUCAGCAGGGACGAAGCGAAAGUGACGGUACCUGCAGAAGAAGCACCGGCCAACUACGUGCCAGCAGCCGCGGUAAUACGUAGGGUGCAAGCGUUGUCCGGAAUUAUUGGGCGUAAAGAGCUCGUAGGCGGCUUGUCGCGUCGGCUGUGAAAACCUGGGGCUCAACCCCGGGCCUGCAGCCGAUACGGGCAAGCUAGAAUUCGGUAGGGGAGACUGGAAUUCCUGGUGUAGCGGUGAAAUGCGCAGAUA
rnacentral:rRNA from 1 species